UAGUCCACGCCGUAAACGGUGGGUGCUAGCUGUGGGUCACAUUCCACGUGGUCCGUGACGAAGUUAACACAUUAAGCACCCCGCCUGGGGAGUACGGCCGCAAGGCUAAAACUCAAAGGAAUUGACGGGGCCCGCACAAGCGGCGGAGCAUGCGGAUUAAUUCGAUGCAACGCGAAGAACCUUACCAAGGCUUGACAUAUAGAGGAAAAGUGCAGAAAUGUACUCCCCGUAAGGUCUCUAUACAGGUGGUGCAUGGUUGUCGUCAGCUCGUGUCGUGAGAUGUUGGGUUAAGUCCCGCAACGAGCGCAACCCCUACUUUUAGUUGCCACCAUUUAGUUGGGCACUUUAAAAGAACUGCCAGUGAUAAGCUGGAGGAAGGUGGGGAUGACGUCAAGUCCUCAUGGCCCUUACGUGUUGGGGCUACACACGUGCUACAAUGGCACUUACAAUGGGGAUGCAAAGAGGUGACUCCUAGCUAAUCCCAAAAAUGU
rnacentral:rRNA from 1 species